rnacentral:rRNA from 1 species
UACGUAGGGGGCAAGCGUUGUCCGGAAUCAUUGGGCGUAAAGCGCGUGUAGGCGGCUCAGUAAGUCCGCUCUGAAAGCCCGGGGCUUAACCCCGGGAGGCGGGUGGAUACUGCUGAGCUUGAGUCCGGAAGAGGCGAGUGGAAUCCCGGUGUAGCGGUGAAAUGCGCAGAUAUCGGGAGGAACACCAAUGGCGAAGGCAGCUCGCUGGGACGUGACUGACGCUGAGACGCGAAAGCGUGGGGAGCAAACAGG